rnacentral:lncRNA from 1 species
UGCGAAAUUCAAACAACUGACCUCUCAAGGGUUUUGUGAAUAUGUCAGCCACUUGAUCUUCACCUCUACAAUAUUGCAAUCUGAUGUCUCCACAUCUUUCAGCCUCUCGAACAAUGUGGUACUUGAUUUUUAUAUGUUUUGUUCUUCUAUGUUGAACUGGAUUCUUCCCGAUAGCAAUUGCAGACUGGCUGUCACUGUAGAUUGGAGUUCCUUCUUGAGAGCUGAAUUUCAAAUCUUCUAAGAGGCGUUUCAACCACAUCACUUGAUUGGUAGUAGCGCACAAUGCCAUAUAUUCUGCCUCUGCAGUCGAUUGAGCAAUCGUGUCUUGCUUACAGGAUUGCCAAGAGAACACAGCUGAUCCAAUGUUGAAACAGUACCCAGUUGUGGAUUUUAAGUCCUCGACGCAUCCUCCGUAAUUGCUGUCAGAGUAUCCAAUUAACCUUGGUUCCUCAACGGUAGAGUAAUACAUUCCCAUAUCAACAGUCCCUCUGAUGUAUCUAAGAACUCUCUUUGCUUCAUUAAGGUGCUUGACUCUAGGUUCCUUAAGAUACCUUGAAAGAUAAGAUGCAGCAAAUGUCAGAUCGGGACGAGUUGCAGUCAAGUACAGUAGGCCUCCAACAAGACUUCGAUAAACUAUGCAGUCUGUAAGUUCUCCUUUUUCUUCUUCGUGUUUGCUUUGAGGUAUGAGAGGAGUGUUCACAGCUCUGCAGUUUUCCAUGUUGAACUUCUUUAACAAUUUCUUUGCAUAACACUCUUGUGACAGAAAGAAUCCUUCCGAUUCUUGGAUAAUCUCCAUACCCAAGAAAUAGUUCAACAGUCCAAGGUCAGACAUUUCAAACUCAUUCUUCAUCACCAUCUUGAAUUCUUCAAUCAUAUUCAAGUCGUCACCUGUCACAAUAAGAUCAUCAACAUAUAUGCAUACCACUAGUAAUUUUCCUUCGAUUUCUUUUGUGAAUAGAGCAUGAUCAUUAUCACUCCUUUUGAAGUUUUCCCGGUUGAAGAAUUCUUCAAUGCGGCUAUACCACGCCCUCGGAGCCUGUUUUAGACCAUAAAGAGCCUUAUGCAAACGGAACACACAAUCUUCCUUUCCUUCUUCUUCAAAACCAGGUGGUUGUUCUGCAUAUAUUUCUUCUUCUAAUGUUCCAUUCAAGAAAGCAGAUUUAACGUCUAGUUGAAACAGUUUCCAUUUCCUUUGAGCCGCAACAGCAAGAAUUAACCUGAUAGUUUCAUGUCUUGACACAUGAGCAAAGGUUUCAUGAUAGUCAACCCCAUAUUGCUUUGUGUCUCACCACAUUUCCUUGAGCAUCAGUUUUUAAUCUGAAUAUCCACUUGACUCCUACCACAUUCUUGUCAGAAGGUCUUUCGAGAAGCUCCCAUGUUUGAUUUUUCUCAAUGGUUUGAAUCUCAUCUACCAUUGCAAGUCUCCAUUCCUUGUGUUUUGCGGCUUCCUCAAAUACAGCAGGUUCCUCUUCGAUGCCAACAUAGCAGCUUUCACAAGAUCCAGAAUAUUCAACAUUAGCAUAAGGGGCAUUCAAGAGGAUAUCUUCAAUAGUUCUGGUUUUCUUGUUUUGCAGGUUUGAGUCACUUUCUGGGCUGUCGAGGUUUAAGCUCAAUGGACUCGGAAGAGUACGUCUUUUCCCUAUAUCUUCAUUGUCCUUUAAUGAUGUCUCUCCAGUUGUUGGGUUUUCUUCUUCAUCCUUUGACUCGCUUGAUAGGUCAUAGGUUUUUGUAACUUCCUUCUUAUCCCAAUUCCACUUGCUUCCCUCAUCAAAUAUGACGUCUCUUGAGAUGUCAAUCUUGUUUUCUUCCAGCAGGUACAGUCUAUAUCCUUUUGUUUGAGAGCUGUAUCCUACAAAUAUACCUCUCUUUGACUUGUCAUCCCAUUUCUUCCUUUUUUCGUCUGGAAUGUGGACAUAACAUAUACUCCCAAACACUCUCAUGUGUUCCAACGAUGGUUUAGUUCCAUCCCAUGCUUCAAUAGGGGUAAUACUUUCUAAGGCUCUUGUUGGGGUUCGAUUCUGGACGUACGUAGCAACGUGAACUGCAUCAGCCCAAAAUUUUAGAGGUAAUCCCUGGCUUUGAUCAUAGCUCUUGCCAUUUCAACUAAGCUUCUGUUUCUUCUUUCUGAAACUCCAUUUUGUUGUGGAGAAUAUUCAGCAGUGAGUUGUCUUUCUAUUCCAUUUUCUUCAAGAAAUUCUGUGAACUCUUUUGAAAGAUACUCAGAUCCUCUGUCGGUUCGAAGCUUCUUGAUUUUGCAGUUUGAGUUAUUUUCAACAAGACUCUUAAACUUUCUAAAUGUUUGAAAGACCUCAGACUUGGCUCUCAGAAAAUAAAUCCAAACCAUUCUUGUUGCAUCAUCAAUAAAUGUGAGAAUGUACCUGUUUCCAUUUAUUGACAAGUUCUGCAUUGGUCCACAUAAGUCGCUGUGAAUUAGCUCCAGUUUCACUCUUGCUCUGGUCUUAGAUUCCUUCGGAAAGGGAUCACGAGAAUGCUUGCUUAGAAUGCAUGAUUCACAUUUUUCUGCUUCUACUUUGAACUUUGGUAAGCCGACCACCAUGUCUUUUGAUUGCAUAAUCUUCAGAUUUGAAUAUCCAGUGUGCCCGAGCCUCUUAUGCCAAAUUGUUGCAUCUUCAUUCUUAGCCAUCAUUGCAGUUUCUUCACUUGCUUGCCACUUUAUGUGAAAACUUUUGUUUCUCAUCGGAACUUCUCCGAUUUUUCUUCUUGUCCUAUCAUGAAUGAUGCAUUUAUUUUCUUUGAAGGUGACUUGGUAACCAUUGGAGAUCAUCUGCGGCACACUUAGGAGAUUUUUUCCCAGCUUAGGUACAAGGAAGACAUCUCGUAUGACUCUUUUCCCUUUCAUUGUCAUCACUUCAAUAUCUCCCUUUCCUUUAGUUAUGAGUGCAACACCAUUCCCAACUUUAAUAGGGACAUUAACACUUGUGUUUAUUCUGAUGAAGAUCUUCUCGUCUGGAGUCAUGUGAUUAGUGCACCCGCUGUCAAUGAGCCAUGAGUUUUCUUCAUUCAAAUCUUGUUUUUCUUGUCUUGCAACGAACGUAUGAUUCUCUUCUCUUUCAAGUACUGUCUCAGCAGCAAUCUUCGACUCCCACUCUGGUGAGCCCUCUCUUCUCUCCUUGAUAGCUCCUCUGAGCACCAACACAGGUUUUCCAGUUUCUUCACACAUCUUCACAACGUUAGGUUCCAUGAAUCAGCUAGUGCUCUGAUACCAUGUUGAAAAGCUUGUAGAAUCACAGAAAAAUAGCAAGAUCAAAUUUAGACAAAGAUUUUGAGAGCAAAACAGAGAAAAACGUUUAUCUCUUCAUAUUCCCAUAUCUCUCUCUCAAUAACCAUUUUUCUCUCUUUUAUCCAGAGAGUAUCACAUGCACUCAAGCACCUACAGCUCUCUACAGCCACCCUAGGACUCUACAAAUACAUUGGAACUCAAAAACAAACAACGACAAAGUAAAACACACUCAAACAACUUGAUGGGCCUUCAUACAAACAAAAGCCCAACGAACAAAACACCCAGCCCACAAAUAAGCUUCUUCUCCUUCUUCGACACACCAACGAUG